ensembl:lncRNA
AACAAUACUCCGUUUUUAAUAUGAUAAAAAGCUCUGGUUUUAAUAUGAUUAAGACAAUACUCGGAUUAAGAAUCUGCCAUGCAAACAGAGAUUUUUGAUCACCUUAAUCUGGUGUCCUGACAUUUUAUCCUACCUGUCAGAUUUUUCUACCAGGGUUUUCAUGCGCACAUCAAUAUUGCGUCCUUUUUCUCAUGCUGAACAACAAUAUUUAAUGUAUUUGCCUUACUAUAAGGACAGGUUUAGGGUUGUGGUAGGUGUAGACGUUAACAAAUCAUAACUUUACAGGUAGCAUUUUUCGUUGUCGAAUUGUACUACCCACUGUUUUAAUGGGAGAUAGCAAAAUCUAGCAGGGUAGGACAAAUCGACAGAACACCGGCUUAAGUCAUAAUCGAAGUAAACACUAACCUCACCAAGUUUCUGUAAAUCCACCCCUUUCUGAACAGAUAAAAAAGGAACUGAAACAUAGACGUUUCAUUCUGUUCUUGACACAUGAUGGAUCUGCGUGUCUCUGUUGUUCUUCUGUUAAUUUUUCUCACUGGAGGAUACUCUCUCAAGUGUUACGUGUGCAAUACUUUGCUGACGGAUUACUGUGAAGCAAAAGUGGAGUUAUGUCGCGAUGGAUUCUCCAAAUGUCAAAGCCAAGCAACGGAAAUAUCCAUGGAUGGCCUGUAUAAGACAAGCUUCCUCCUGCUGUUGUCUCCUCUGCUCUUCUACUUCCUGUUUCACUGAUUCCAGCAGCAGUUCAGAUUCUACAGCAGCAGCAGAAACUGAACGUCACACACAUUUCUAUUCUUGAAUAAACAAAUAAAGCUUGUCAAUCAUUAAAAUGUGGUUUUGUUUGUUCAGCUAUAGGUUAACUAAUCCAGUGCUUCCCAAACCUGUCCUGGAGGCCCCCCUGCCCUGCACCUUUUAUAUGUAU